CAGUAACCUAGGCAACAAUACCAAGUUGGUGGAUUGGAUGCCUCAAAACGACCUGUUGGGCCAUGCCAGAACAGUAGCGUUCCUGUCCCACGGUGGUCUGAACAGUAUCUAUGAAGCGAUGUACCACGGUGUGCCUGUCGUGGGCCUACCUCUGUUUGGGGACCACUACGACACUAUGACCCGGGUGGAGGCUAAGGGGAUGGGCAUCAUGGUUCACUGGAAGAGUAUGACAGAGGAGGAGCUGUACCAGGCACUGGCCACUGUUAUCAACAAUAACAAGUAUCGUCAGCGUGCCCAGGUGCUCUCUUCCAUCCAUAAGGACCAACCAGGUCACCC